AGUUCCUUAACUUAAUUUGGCAAAGUAUACUUUUGAUAAGAGUAUGAUCAGUGUUCAAAUCACUGGGGAAUUA
rnacentral:tRNA from 1 species